rnacentral:rRNA from 1 species
UACAGAGGUCUCAAGCGUUUGUUCGGAUUCAUUGGGCGUAAAGGGUGCGUAGGUGGCGCCAUAAGUCAGGUGUGAAAUCUCGGGGCUUAACUCCGAAACUGCAUUUGAUACUGUGGUGCUUGAGGACUGGAGAGGAGACUGGAAUUCACGGUGUAGCAGUGAAAUGCGUAGAUAUCGUGAGGAAGACCAGUGGCGAAGGCGGGUCUCUGGACAGUUCCUGACACUGAGACACGAAGGCCAGGGGAGCAAACGGG